AGAGUUUGAUCCUGGCUCAGGAUGAACGCUAGCUACAGGCUUAACACAUGCAAGUCGAGGGGCAUCAGGAAGAAAGCUUGCUUUCUUUGCUGGCGACCGGCGCACGGGUGAGUAACACGUAUCCAACCUGCCCUUUACUCGGGGAUAGCCUUUCGAAAGAAAGAUUAAUACCCGAUGGCAUAAUGAUUCCGCAUGGUUUCAUUAUUAAAGGAUUCCGGUAAAGGAUGGGGAUGCGUUCCAUUAGGUUGUUGGUGAGGUAACGGCUCACCAAGCCUUCGAUGGAUAGGGGUUCUGAGAGGAAGGUCCCCCACAUUGGAACUGAGACACGGUCCAAACUCCUACGGGAGGCAGCAGUGAGGAAUAUUGGUCAAUGGGCGCUAGCCUGAACCAGCCAAGUAGCGUGAAGGAUGAAGGCUCUAUGGGUCGUAAACUUCUUUUAUAUGGGAAUAAAGUUUUCCACGUGUGGAAUUUUGUAUGUACCAUAUGAAUAAGGAUCGGCUAACUCCGUGCCAGCAGCCGCGGUAAUACGGAGGAUCCGAGCGUUAUCCGGAUUUAUUGGGUUUAAAGGGAGCGUAGGUGGACUGGUAAGUCAGUUGUGAAAGUUUGCGGCUCAACCGUAAAAUUGCAGUUGAUACUGUCAGUCUUGAGUACAGUAGAGGUGGGCGGAAUUCGUGGUGUAGCGGUGAAAUGCUUAGAUAUCACGAAGAACUCCGAUUGCGAAGGCAGCUCACUGGACUGCAACUGACACUGAUGCUCGAAAGUGUGGGUAUCAAACAGGAUUAGAUACCCUGGUAGUCCACACAGUAAACGAUGAAUACUCGCUGUUUGCGAUAUACAGUAAGCGGCCAAGCGAAAGCAUUAAGUAUUCCACCUGGGGAGUACGCCGGCAACGGUGAAACUCAAAGGAAUUGACGGGGGCCCGCACAAGCGGAGGAACAUGUGGUUUAA
rnacentral:rRNA from 1 species